UACAGAGGGUGCAAGCGUUAAUCGGAAUUACUGGGCGUAAAGGGUGCGUAGGUGGUUAAUUAAGUCAGAUGUGAAAUCCCAAGGCUUAACCUUGGAAUUGCAUAUGAUACUGGUUAGCUAGAGUACAGAAGAGGGAAGUGGAAUUUCCGGUGUAGCGGUGAAAUGCGUAGAUAUCGGAAGGAACAUCAGUGGCGAAGGCGACUUCCUGGUCUGUUACUGACACUGAGGCACGAAAGCGUGGGGAGCGAACAGG
rnacentral:rRNA from 1 species